rnacentral:rRNA from 1 species
CCUGAGUACGACGGAGCACGUGAAAUUCCGUCGGAAUCUGGGAGGACCAUCUCCUAAGGCUAAAUACUCUCUAGUGACCGAUAGUGAACCAGUACCGUGAGGGAAAGGUGAAAAGUACCCCGGAAGGGGAGUGAAAGAGAACUUGAAACCGUGUGCUUACAAGUAGUCAGAGCCCGUUAAUGGGUGAUGGCGUGCCUUUUGUAGAAUGAACCGGCGAGUUACGAUCUGAUGCAAGGUUAAGCAGAAAAUGUGGAGCCGUAGCGAAAGCGAGUCUGAAUAGGGCGAAUGAGUAUUUGGUCGUAGACCCGAAACCAGGUGAUCUACCCUUGGUCAGGUUGAAGUUCAGGUAACACUGAAUGGAGGACCGAACCGACUUACGUUGAAAAGUGAGCGGAUGAACUGAGGGUAGCGGAGAAAUUCCAAUCGAACUUGGAGAUAGCUGGUUCUCUCCGAAAUAGCUUUAGGGCUAGCCUCAAGUGAUGAUUAUUGGAGGUAGAGCACUGUUUGGACGAGGGGCCCCUCUCGGGUUACCGAAUUCAGACAAACUCCGAAUGCCAAAUAAUUUAACUUGGGAGUCAGAAUGUGGGUGAUAAGGUCCAUAUUCGAAAGGGAAACAGCCCAGACCACCAGCUAAGGUCCCAAAAUAUAUGUUAAGUGGAAAAGGAUGUGGCGUUGCCCAGACAACUAGGAUGUUGGCUUAGAAGCAGCCAUCAUUUAAAGAGUGCGUAAUAGCUCACUAGUCGAGUGACACUGCGCCGAAAAUGUACCGGGGCUAAACAUAUUACCGAAGCUGUGGAUUGUCCUUUGGACAAUGGUAGGAGAGCGUUCUAAGGGCGUUGAAGCAUGAUCGCAAGGACAUGUGGAGCGCUUAGAAGUGAGAAUGCCGGUGUGAGUAGCGAAAGACGGGUGAGAAUCCCGUCCACCGAUUGACUAAGGUUUCCAGAGGAAGGCUCGUCCGCUCUGGGUUAGUCGGGUCCUAAGCUGAGGCCGACAGGCGUAGGCGAUGGAUAACAGGUUGAUAUUCCUGUACCACCAUUAUUCGUUUUAAGCGAUGGGGGGACGCAGUAGGAUAGGCGAAGCGUGCUGUUGGAGUGCACGUCCAAGCAGUGAGAUUGAGUGUUAGGCAAAUCCGGCACUCUUAAGAUUGAGCUGUGAUGGGGAGAGGAACUUGUUCCUCGAGUCGUUGAUUUCACACUGCCGAGAAAAGCCUCUAGCUAGAAUAACGGUGCCCGUACCGCAAACCGACACAGGUAGUCAAGAUGAGAAUUCUAAGGUGAGCGAGCGAACUCUCGUUAAGGAACUCGGCAAAAUGACCCCGUAACUUCGGGAGAAGGGGUGCUCUUUGAGGUUCACGCUUCGAAGAGCCGCAGUGAAUAGGCCCAAGCGACUGUUUAUCAAAAACACAGGUCUCUGCUAAACCGUAAGGUGACGUAUAGGGGCUGACGCCUGCCCGGUGCUGGAA